rnacentral:rRNA from 1 species
UAUGUGAUCGUCUCUCGCAUAUCAAUAAGCGGAGGAAAAGAAACUAACAAGGAUUCCCCUAGUAACGGCGAGUGAAGCGGGAAGAGCUCAAAUUUGAAAUCUUAAAGGGUUUCCCUUUACGAAUUGUAGUUUAAAGAAGUGUUUUCUGUUGAGGUUUUGGUAAAAGUUCUUUGGAAUAGGACAUCAUAGAGGGUGAGAAUCCCGUAUUUGACCUUUACUUUCAACUUUGUGAUACACUUUCAAAGAGUCGGAUUGUUUGGGAAUGCAGUCCAAAAUGGGUGGUAAAUUUCAUCUAAAGCUAAAUACUGGCGAGAGACCGAUAGCGAACAAGUACCGUGAGGGAAAGAUGAAAAGAACUUUGAAAAGAGAGUUAAACAGUACGUGAAAUUGUCAAAAGGGAAGCGUUUGACACCAGUGUUGUUUUUCUGAAAAUCAAUUAAAGAACUGUUUAUGCUAAGUUGUUUAGACUUUAUCAGCUAUCUGUUUAGUUUUGAGCUUUUCUUUAAUGCACUUUUCAGUUAACAAGUCAACAUCAAUUUCUUUUGCUGUAAAAAAGCUUGAGGAAGGUGGCUUGAGAUUCGUCUUAAGUGUUUAUAGCCUCUUGCCUAUGCAGUCGGAGAGAUUGAGGUCUGCAGCGUAGAUCCUUCGGGGCUAAAUGCAUUUGUGCUAAGUUAUAGCAUUUUAUAGACAACUUGUUGACUAUGAUUUGUCUUGUAGCUUACUCGCUUAUGUUAUUUUACCUACGCUUAGGAUGUUGAGUAGCGACAUACGCAC